CGUUCCCGGCCUUGUACACACCGCCCGUCACACCACGAAAGUCGGCAAUACCCGAAGCCGGUGGCCUAACCCGCAAGGGAGGGAGCCGUCGAAGGUAGGGUCGAUGAGUUGGGGUG
rnacentral:rRNA from 1 species